AGUGAACGCUGGCGGUAGGCCUAACACAUGCAAGUCGAACGGCAGCACAGUAAGAGCUUGCUCUUACGGGUGGCGAGUGGCGGACGGGUGAGGAAUACAUCGGAAUCUACUUUUUCGUGGGGGAUAACGUAGGGAAACUUACGCUAAUACCGCAUACGACCUACGGGUGAAAGCAGGGGAUCUUCGGACCUUGCGCGAUUGAAUGAGCCGAUGUCGGAUUAGCUAGUUGGCGGGGUAAAGGCCCACCAAGGCGACGAUCCGUAGCUGGUCUGAGAGGAUGAUCAGCCACACUGGAGGUGAGACACGGUCCAGACGCCUACGGGAGGCAGCAGUGGGGAAUAUGGGACAAUGGGCGCAAGCCUGAUCCAGCCAUACCGCGUGGGUGAAGAAGGCCUUCGGGUUGGAAAGCCCUUUUGUUGGGAAAGAAAAGCAGCAGGUUAAUACCCCGCUGUUCUGACGGUACCCAAAGAAGAAGCACCGACUAACUUCGUG
rnacentral:rRNA from 1 species